CCCCUUUCAGGAUCAUACCUGGGGAGUUUCCCGUACCCUACCAGUCUCGAUUAUGGGAGGGAAAGUCAAGCAGAGGCAUACCCAUUCCAUUUCUAGCUUGGGCGGUGGUUAGCGAGUGGCAGACAAUCUGCUACAAGU